UUUCUACAUCCGAAUCAGAAAAAAAAAAAGGCAGUUACCCUGCCCACCAAAAUCAGCGAAAAAAUUCACUGUAGCAAGUAUCGGCCGCUUCCGUCUUUCCUUUCAUUUGGUUCAAUUUAUCAUAUCGAUCACAACGAAUUAUCCAAUUCAAAUUUCCAGCUAUAAAACAGGAAAAACAAACAGAAAAUAACGUUCUCGUUCAAGCUUUUACUAUCACAAAUUUGUUAGGAGAAAGCCGAAAAACCGUUUGGUUAUAAAGAUCGGAGAAGAAAGAUCUCCGGUUUCGAGAAAUGAUAACUCGGUCUAAACUCGUAGAGCAACUCAGAGAUUACCAGAUCCGAUCUCAAAACAAGUUCCCUGCUCUUACCUUCUUCUCUCCCACACCCCAUAUCACUUCCUGGGCUGAUGUAGCUGUGGCUAUUUUUUGGGCCUUUGCAUUUAUUGUGCUGGUGAUAUCAGCCUAUUUUUCCCUUUAUUUUAGGCAUUUCUGGCUUUCCUGUAUUACUAUAUGUCUUGGUGUAUUCCUUCCCAUACGCUUGAGAAGUUGUAGGCAGGCUCUGUUCAAGAAGAGGGAGAGAAAAUUUCUGUUACCUUUGUCUAUGUGAGCCUUUUCUGGAACUGGAAGUACUUUAAUUGAUACGAUUUGCCCAUGGAUGGCUUACUACCCAGCUUAACAUAUGUGGCAAAUUCACACAGCUUGGGAAUCUAUCUUGGUCAGUGAAGACUGUUGCCUAUCUUCAUUUAAGGUAGAUGGUACAGUUUCUUGUUCAGUUUUCUUCAUAAAACCAUACACAAACCCCAUGGUAAUUUGUCAGACACUUUCAACCUGUAACACUUCACAGUUCAGCCAAGAGACAGCUGCCAGUCAUUUAUAGGGUCAGUUGCCUGUAGAAGUUUGGGGUGCAGGAAAUUUAAUUAUUUAAUGUUCUUUGUACAACAAAACAACAACAAUAUUCCUAUAAAAUGAGAACAAGAGAGAGAGAGAGAAAGAGACAGACAGAGAGAUAGAACAAUUUAAAAAAAAAAAAAAUCAUUUCUAGAUUGCAUUGGCAAGGGAGGUAGACAGAAAUUUAACAUUGGUAAGUGGUAUAUCAUGCAAUAUACUUCAAUUCCUUGAUGAGUAACUUCUUAUCAAGUAUUUAGCAUAAGAUUUAUAAACUUGUUGGUUUCCUCCUAAUACACUCGAAAUUUGAAGUCCUUAACUGUUUGUUUGUGAUUUAGUUUAUGGUAUACGGAAUUUAAGUCUUCUUGCUUCAUAGUUCAGAUUGAUGGAAUAAUAGAACUGAUAUUGGCAAACUUAGCAAGUACAGAGCAAGUGUACUGGUGAUCAUGAGCAAAGGAGAAAAGUAAGGGAAUAAAAUUAAGUGAUGGUAAUGGGUGACAAGAAUUGGCAUGAUUACUGUUAAUUAAUGAGUAGAUGGCCCUCCUACACAUGCAUUAUAAAGGAAUGUUGGGGGUGGCUUCUUUUUUUGUCUGCUAGUUGGGUAAGACCAAUGCUGACAUUUAAUCAUUGUUUUAUCCAAUGAUUUUAAGUUUUCUUUGGUUUCAUGGUUAAAGCCCUUUGUCUGGUUAUAAUAACUAGACUGUUUGAACUCUCUAAACUCGGUAGCUAUUACUUGGAAUUUGAUUUGUGAUUCAUUCCAUACAAAUUCCAUUUCAUCUGUCUGGGAUUUGUUUGUUAGAUUUGAAGCAGAUGGGAGCUACAAAUAUGUGAUUAAACUGAGAGUUUUGGGUUUCCUUUUUCUUUCAUGGUGCUGGAUUUCUAGCUUACUAUGAUCCUAUUCAUGGUACUAAGCAAUCUAUGAUGCUAAUACUGGUGCAUGGCAUGCAUUUCUUCUGUUGAUGGGAAAAAAAAAGGAAAAAGGAGAGUAGUGGCCCUGCAACCCUGCAAAGUACCUUUAUGAAACAUGCUAUUUGGCAUGAGAGGAUAGAAUGAUGUGCUUUUGCCUAUAGUGAAAGAAAUCUCAAGGCAGUAGCAGUUUAAUCCAGAGAAAAGGUUUGAAAAGAAGGGUGGGAAUUGUUGCAAAAAAAGCAAACCCCUAACUCUUUGAGUCUACUUAUGGUGGAUAUGUACCCUGUUUGGACUUUAUUGCCCAUAAAGGAAACUAAAGAGCGACCUAUCCUUGUUUA
rnacentral:sRNA from 1 species